UAACAGGAAAUUAAGAGCAUACGGUGGAUGCCUAGACUCUAAAUGGCGAUGAAGGACGUAGCGUAACAACGAUAAUGACGGUGAGGUGUGUAGCAACCUUUGACCCGUCAGUUUCCGAAUGGGGAAACCUUAUUGAGUAAAUCUCAAUAAUCUUUGUCUUUAUGAUAAAGAUGCAUACCCUGGGAAGUGAAACAUCUCAGUACCAGGAGGAAUAGA
rnacentral:rRNA from 1 species